ensembl:lncRNA
UUGCACCCAAAGAAGCCGUGCCAUGUGGCCAUAGAGCUUGCGCUGACUCAGCCAGCUCAGUUAUUCAGUUACUCUCUGUCUUAACCAGCCUUGUCAUCAACUGCACAGCCAAAAUCAGGUAAUAAUCAGCCACCACAACCUGAAGGCAGAUAAUGAAUCAUCAAUUUCCAGUUUAGAUCUUCAGGUAGAAAAUUCUCUCAGCACAUAUUAAGUGGAGAACGUGGCUGGUGCUAGGGUCUAUCCAGGAUGAUGAGCUGUGGCACCUCUGUUGUUUCUGGAGGAACGAGUGCAUACAAAGGGCCAAGAGCUCUCCAUGAGCCUCUGGGCUAUUAGCAAAGGUGAAAUCUUGUGAGAAGAUGUACUUCUUGCACAGACUUACCAUGAGCCGCUGGUGGGCGCGGGCAAUAUCUCUGACCUGUCGAACGUGGUGGUCCCCCUCAUCUGAAUAGACAAGAGCAGAGGAGACAGGAGUGAGUGUUGAGAGCAUGGAUGUCAGACGCCUGCUAGGAGAGCAUGACCCUUUCCAGAUCGUGAUCCUGUUGUUGUGGCUACUCCUCACUCCAGAGGGAUGUUCUCUCUGGGUACUGGGGCCACUGGCAGCAUGGGGGAAUAACCAUGGGGCAGAUGCUUCCUCGAUGAGAAGGGUUUGAGCACCAAAAGGUGAUAGCAAUACCAGGAAAGUAGUCGCUAAAUUACAGUAGGAGUCAGUAAGGGACAGAGGCAGAAGCGGGAUGAGAGGGGGAAGAAAUGUUAGAGUGGCCACAGGAAAACUGGCUCUGGUGUCUGGAACAGAAAGAGGAGCUCAGAGGGGAAUUUGAAGAUACUGCUGGAAGAAAGGAUGCUUCAGAGUGAAUGAAUGCAGUUCUCUUACAAGGACAUCUUGUGUACGUCCACAGAUGAAUCUGUCCCUUCUGUGAUCCCAGGGGCUCUGGGGUUCAGACUAGUGGGCUCACAGAGGGGCUGAAGAACUUGAUGCUAUGUAGAGGAUGAGGCGGGCUACUAUCAGAGGACUCUGGGUAACUCUUGUCCCAGCAAGACAGUGCAAAUUGUGUUGGCAUUGUCCACACGCAGAGCAAUGUUGAGUCCAUCCUCCACGACACAGGGCUGGAGUUGGGCUGGGUUGGGGCGUAGAGCUGCAUAGCAUCCGACCAAACAUGACCUUGUUUGCCUCUCUCUAUUACACAGGAAUACUUACCAGGCUGGACGGGCUCAGGGUGAAUAUUCAUAAUUUCAUCCAUCGUUCCAUUUAAGAGAUGCAAGUUUUUUAUGUCAAAGACAAGAGGUGCUGCCAGGGCCAGCAGGGAGUGAAGUGACAUGUCCUCAGGUAAAGAAGGCUGUGUCUCACGAAGGUGAAGAGCUUCCUUCAGAAGCAAAGCAAAUAGCAAGUUGCCAAUGAGACAGUGCCUUGGAACAGCUCCGACGUACACAGCCUGGCUGCCCCCGUCCCCCACCUCCCCCCACUGCUCUCGCAGGGUUUCCCCAGGGAAUCGUGUCCUCUGAGCACCUUCCAGCAUUUCAGCACGGCUGCAGGCUGGGACACACCAGCUCCGUGGGAACCUCAUCCUCCUGCCCAUGGCAGUGGUGAUGCUUCUCCACUGUGCGAGUGCAGGUCCAGGAAUGCCCACCGCCAGCUCGCGGAGCGGUGAGUAUGGACCCAACAGGGGGAAGUGGCACCAAGGGCAGGAUAUCUGCCUGGCUCAGCACCGACCCUUGGGUCUGCCAGAUACUAGACAGGCUGUCAUGCAGGCAGACUGGCUGAGGCACAAGACAAGAACUCCUCAACAUACAGACUCCUUAACUCUUGUAAAGUAAGCAGCCUGACCCAUCUCAAGCCAUCCUUUAGUGGCUCCAGGCUGAAACCGAGGGGCUUCUGCCUAAACAGUUCCAUCAGAGCAUCAGAGGUCAUCCCAGUACUUUAUUUAUGUAUUUAUCUGUAG